rnacentral:rRNA from 1 species
GCUAAGUCGGUGCCGGCGGGGUGGGGAAUGCGGAGGGUGCAAUCGUUAGUCGGAAGUACGGGGGGUAAAGGGUGCGUAGGCGGAUUCACAAGUGAAUGUUGAAAUUCCGGAGCGUAACUGCGGAGCGGCCAUUGAAACUGUGAGACUAGAGGAAUGGCGGGGAAAACGGAAUUCCAUGUGUAGCGGUGAAAUGCGUAGAUAUAUGGAAGAACACCUGUGGCGUAGGCGGUUUUCCAGCCACAUCCUGACGCUGAGGCACGAAAGCAAGGGGAGCAAACAGGAUUAGAUACCCGAGUAGUC